GAGAGUUCAAACCCAGCCUGAACAACCUAGCAACUUAACAAGACCCUGUCUCAAAAGGACUGGGGAUAUAGCUCAGGGCAAAGGCCUUGAGUCCAACCCCCAACACCACAAACAAAAUAAAACAGAAAACAUUAAAUCAAUUUGGGGUAGCUACACAUGUCCAUUCCCAGUUACAGUGAGGCCGAGAGAAUACCAGGAGAACACGCCAGUGAACCCCUUGGUUACCCACUGCCCUCACUGGAGGGAAGCAACCUGACUCCUGCUAGUCAGUAACGCCUGCCAACACAGCUCUGCUGUCCACAUGCUGGUUCUGUGUUCAAGGAGUCCUAUGCGUAAGUGUCCUGGUGGUAGCUUUAACGGGAUGCAGCUUUAACCUGGUGAUGUGGCGAACCCUCUUUUGGGACCAGAACUGCACAGCAAGCAGUACAGAAUCGCCCAGUGUGUCCUUUAGAGUGGUGAUUAGCAAAGUGACUUCUGUGUCUCCCUUUUUUACAGACUCGUGCAUCUUUCCUCCUGGGGACACAGCGCCACCCAUAUACACUGAAGGAUGACACCUCAUCUUCUCAUGGUGCUGCCUCUGAGCUGAUAUCUCAGCUACUCCCUUAGAAGGACACUCCAGAGCUCCAUGAGGCAUCUGUCCCAGGGCAGUGCAGAAUGUGACACGAUUAGUGAAUCCCAUGUCACGGUGACAAACUGUGGUCCUUCCUUUCUUGGACGCCAUGCUGGGGCUGUGGGUCGGGCAUUCUGUAAGCCCUCAGAUAGUGGUGCUGGCAGAGGGGCUAUGGUCAGGUACAGCAAAUCCAUCCCCAGGACAAGUGUAGACCCCCAUGAGGACAAGCCAUGGCCCUCAGUGAUAUAUCAGUAACAGUUCUGUCACUGACAGAGGUGUCUGUGGCUAGCCUGGCCUCAGCAAGUCAAAGUCCACUCUAGGACCCAAGUGCAGCCUCCACCUGUGCCAGCCUCCCAUGCUGUUCAUGUGCCUGUUGCUGCAUUUCCAGCAUGGACAGCGACAGUGACCAUCGCUGACCCAGUCAUCUCACGUGUCCCUCACCCCUCACUGGUCAGUAUGUCCUGGGGACAGAAAGGUGUGUAACAAAAGCCCUGACACUUAGUGCACACUUACACAUGCACAGGCCACCACCCCAAAGUCCCUGAGCCAGUGCCCAGGACUUGCAUAAAUUCUCACCUCGGGCCACUUUCCUUCCAUUGUACAGCGGCCAACAGGGCACUCUGUUCAUUGAAACUUCCCGCCCUCACUGUCUUCACAGAGCACUCUGAAGUGGCUGCCAUUCAUUUCUGCUUUGCUCCCACGUAGCAAACUAACCCAUUCAAAAAUUGAAGUUGUGAUUUUUCAUAAGCUCUGCAUUGCGUUGCUUCCCAGCACUGACACCCGAAGUGCCAGAGGCGGCUAGAAUUUACAGCCCACGGAGCAGAGCAAUUGCACCAGGACAUGGGCUUGCAGAAGCACCCUGCCCCUCUGGGACUUGCUCAAAACUAGCUAUACUCAGUGUUCCCCAGCCUUGAACCACAGCCAUCCUCUUUGGUGUGCCAAGCCCAAAGAGGCUGCCAGGGCUGGGCUCCCUUCACUGGGCAGAGGAUGCAGGAUACACAGCGUGUUCUUUGCUUUGGUGGCCCCUGACCACUGGAGCCCUGAGAACCUCACUGGAGAGCAAGGGACUUUCUCCCCACCCCCACCCCCUGGGGUGCACAUGUCUCAGACAGGCUUCCAGCAUUCUGGCCCCUCUUCUAGUCCUGACCAGGCUUCAGGGUGGCAUCAACCUAAUGACACAAUACAGAGCUUUAGGGACUGUUUUAUGAUGGAGGCCAGAGACAAAACCAUGAAUGACUCUUGCUGUCCACCCCCACAGGAAUGCAAACUGCUUCUGGCCCUCUUUUUUAGUUAGGAUGGAGAACACACUUACCGAGUAAACAGCCGAACACCAUGCACCCUGAAGCUCCAGAACCAAGACAUCAUGCUCAAUUGAGGAGUGGAAAUCAAGGCAUGGCCUCAUCUGUGGUUGUCUCUGUUCAUCCUCCAGUGCCUGGUCAGCUUUGGCAGGGCCCAGGCGGACAAACUAAGUGGACCAUCGCUGCGACAUCUUGUGAUGCAAGUUCUUAUCAGCCCCCAAAAGGACGAGAUACUGCUGUGCUGUUUUGUUUUUACUUUCUACUCCUGGGAGGGAGGGGAUCAGUUUUUCAGUCUGUGUUCUGUUGCUAUAAUUAAAUCCUACAGAAUAGGUAAUUUAUAAAGAAGAGAAGGUUAGCUGGGGAUGUAGCUCAGUGACAUGCCUUUCUGCCUUCACAAAUGCAAGUUCAUGAGUUCAAUCCCUGGUACCAAAAAAUUUUUUAAAAUAGAAGGUUAAUAGCUCAUAGUUAAGUGUGUGCUUAGCAUGCACAAGGCCCUGGGUCCUAUGCCCUGUACCAAAACAACCCCAAAACAAAAGGGAAAUAAAAGAGAAGGGAGGGAAAGGAGGGGAAAGGGAAGAGAAAAGUUUUCUGUCCCAUGGUUCUGGGAGCUGGGAAGCCCAGGGGCAGAGAGCAGCCAGGGCCCUUGGUGUUGCCUCAUAACGUGGCACAGGGUUGUUAUGGUUUUUAUCUGGUUGUCCACCCAAAACCUCAUUCACUCAUAAGUGGAGACUGGGGAGGUGGCUGGAUACUUCCCAGUGGGUUGGUCUACCUGUGGGUUGUGGCCACACGUGGUCUUGGGAAGUGAGGUGUGGUCAGGAAGCUGUGUCGCUAGGGGCCGGCCCUGAAAGGUCUGUCUCCUCCUCCUCCCUUCUCUCUCACUGCCUCCUGCCGCCAUGCCAUGGACUGCUCUUCCUCUGCCAUGCACCCUGCCUUGGAGUCAGCCGAUUACAGACGGAAACUGCUACAAACUCCUGGAAUAAGAAUGUGAUGCCUGGAGAUAUGGCAGCCAUCUUCUGAUAAUGAGGACAAAAGCAAAUGAAGGAGCAAGAAGGGGCUUCGGUCUUAGACAAUGCCUUGGGCUGCCUGCCUUCAAACUGGUCUGCACAAAGAGAAGAAAUCAGAAACUGACGCGGAGUAGAGCAGAGAUGAAAGGCAGAGGAAGUCCCCCACCUGUGGCUGGCUCCCUCCUGCCCUCACCCUGUCCUCAAGCAUCGCUAGGUCUCUGGACCCCAUCAGGAGCCACCUGCCCAAGUGACCACGCGUGGAGGAUCCUUGGCCCGCGCUUCCCUGCGCGGUCAGAACAGUCACGCGUUAGCUGAGGGUUGUCGCCACGGCCUCGCAAUCACCGCGUCUGAUGACUUGACAGUGCCACGGCUCCCAACAGGAGAGGACGUUUUAAAUGAGUUACAUGCACCCACAGGACUCCUAUGCAAUUCAACAGGAAUUCACAAAAUUGCAGUGUGAGAGGAAAGAUAACAUCUGCAAAUGUUGUCCCCGCCCACGCGCUGGCCAUGAAAGGACAUCGCUCAGCUGCCAGCUUCCGGGCCUGGCGUCACUCUCUUUUGCCUUUUCCACCGUGACAGUGAAUUCCUGGAAACCAGGGACGGAGAAGCCCCGGUGGCCCCGGGGGCCCGCGCCGGGAACUUGGCCGCCCAACCCAGCCCCAUCCCGGGCCCGAAGUGGCCGGCGGUCAUUGUAGAAAAUGUCAUCUCCGCGCCUCCCGGAGUCGCGCCCUGCGAUCCGCGCGGACGGGAACCACGCGCGCUUGCGCCCCGGUGACCUCGCGUGGCCUCUCCUGCGCGCGUUCCCCUGAACGCCCCCUGCACGCGCUUCCGCGCCGGCGCGGGUCUGCAAGGCAGUGAGCGAGACCUUCCGUUUCCAGGCCGUCUGCCAGCUUCCGGGCCAGGAAGGCCGGGCUGACGCUGCGCGCGAGGAGUUCUCCGGCUGCGCUCCAGGUGCCUGUGAAAAACACAUUAAAAUAGAGUUAAAAUAGUA